rnacentral:rRNA from 1 species
AUUGAACGCUGGCGGCAGGCUUAACACAUGCAAGUCGAGCGAGCGGCGGACGGGUGAGUAAUGUCUGGGAAACUGCCUGAUGGAGGGGGAUAACUACUGGAAACGGUAGCUAAUACCGCAUACCAUCAGAUGUUCCCAGAUGGGAUUCGCUCGUAGGUGGGGUAAUGGCUCCCCUAGGCGACGAGCCCUCGCUGGUCUGAGAGGAGUACCAGCCACAAGGGAACUGAGACACGGUCCAGCAUCCUACGGGAGGCAGCAGUGGGGAAUAUUGAACAAUGGGCGCAAGCCUGAUGCAGCCAUGCCGCGUGUGUGAAGAAGGCCUUCGGGUUGUAAAGCACUUUCAGCGAGGAGGCGUUACUCGCAGAAGAAGCACCGGCUAACUCCGUGCCAGCAGCCGCGGUAAUAC